rnacentral:rRNA from 1 species
UCUAAGUAUAAGUGUUAUAUAUCGAAACUGCAGACGGCUCAUUAAAUCAGUAAUAAUUUUAGUGGGAUUGGUCCUUCGGGACCUUAUGGAUAACUGCGGAAAAUCUGGAGCUAAUACAUACACAAAGCCGGCUUUCAUAGGUCGGCUGUUCCGCCUAACUUUGCCAGAGCCCUUCGGGGUAUACGAUGAACCAAGGUUGAUACGAAUGCACACACCCUUGUGGUGGUGCGCUCUUACAGAAAUAUCUGACCCAUCAACCUGACGGUAGUGCAUUGGACUACCAUAGUGAUAACGGGUAACGGGGAAUUAGGGUUUGAUUCCGGAGAGGACGCCUGAGAGACGGCGUCUACUUCUAAGGAAGGCAGCAGGCGCGCAAAUUACCCAAUUUUGACUCAAAGAGGUAGUGACAAGAAAUAAUAAUGAGACCCUUCGGGGCCUCAAUUGCAAUGAGAGAGGAGUAAACUCCCCAACGAGUACCAAUUAGAGGACAAGUCUGGUGCCAGCACCCGCGGUAAUUCCAGCUCUAAUAGCAUAUACUAAAGUUGCUGUAGUUAAAACGCCCGUAGCCGUAAUUUGGAUGGGGCAACGAGGUGGGUCCUAACAGAUCUACUUCGUAAAUCCAUUAAUCAAGGUCACUCCUAGGUACCCUUAACUGGGUGCCUAGAAUAGGGGGACCAAUUUUACUGUGAAUAAAUCAAAGCGCUUAAAGCAAGCGGUUGCCGUGAAUGAUUGAGCAUGGGAUGAUAGAAUAAGAGGAACUGUUAGCAUGUCUGGUAGUGUCUGGGCCUAAUGAUCAAAAGGGACUGACGGGGUAAUCCCUAUUU